rnacentral:rRNA from 1 species
GACGAACGCUGGCGGCGUGCCUAAUACAUGCAAGUCGAGCGCAGGAAGCUGACGGAACUCUUCGGAGGGAAGGCAGUGGAAUGAGCGGCGGACGGGUGAGUAACACGUAAGGAACCUGCCUCAAGGAUUGGGAUAACUCCGAGAAAUCGGAGCUAAUACCGGAUAGUUCAACGGACCGCAUGGUCCGCGGAUGAAAGGCGCUCCGGCGUCACCUUGAGAUGGCCUUGCGGUGCAGUAGCUAGUUGGUGGGGUCACGGCCCACCAAGGCGACGAUGCAUAGCCGACCUGAGAGGGUGAUCGGCCACGCUGGGACUGAGACACGGCCCAGACUCCUACGGGAGGCAGCAGUAGGGAAUCUUCCACAAUGGGCGAAAGUCUGAUGGAGCAACGCCGCGUGAGUGAUGAAGGUUUUCGGAUCGUAAAACUCUGUUGUAAGGGAAGAACACGUACGAGAGGAAAUGCUCGUACCUUGACGGUACCUUACGAGAAAGCCACGGCUAACUACGUGCCAGCCGCCGCAGUAA